UGCCAGCAGCCGCGGUAAUACGGAGUGUGCGAGCGUUAAUCGGAAUUACUGGGCGUAAAGCGUACGUAGGCGGAUUAGUUAGUCAGAGGUGAAAUCCCGGGGCUCAACCCCGGAACUGCCUUUGAUACUGCUAGUCUUGAGUUCGAGAGAGGUGAGUGGAAUUCCAAGUGUAGAGGUGAAAUUCGUAGAUAUUUGGAGGAACACCAGUGGCGAAGGCGGCUCACUGGCUCGAUACUGACGCUGAGGUACGAAAGUGUGGGGAGCAAACAGGAUUAGAUA
rnacentral:rRNA from 1 species